AUAUUUUGUACAAACAAGUUGUGACGCUCAACUACUGUAUGAAUCUUUCAACAUGCCACUGGAAAGGUAGAAAAAGCUGCAAUUCAUUUUAUGAUACUUGAAAAUACUGCAGGUAUUUUAUAUUUGAACAAAUCCAUUUGCAAAUAGCAAGUUGGAUGCUUAGCAAAAACAACUUCAAACCUCCUUGUCGAUCUGAGGGUCUGCACUGAAGAGGGCCCUCUGUCACACAGGAUACUCCUCACACAGUGAAAGGAUGUGGACAGGCUCUUCCUCUUUCUUUAGCUAUAAAAGGAUGGUGGAAUCCCAGACAGACCGACAGACAGUUCAAAGCUUGUUGCAUUUAAAGAGGAGUCUUGACGCACAUGCAAGGAAACACCAAAGCUACCUGACUGUUAAGAAUGUAGAGGUAAAUGUCAGUGUUCAACUAAUAAAAUUUUGA